GUUUUUUUUGUAGAAGAAUGUACCGUAUUAUUAUAAGAAAACUCUGCCAAUGGCAAAAGAGUUAUCCAAUCAUCUUGUUCAUAGUUAAUGGUACAUCUUAAAUAUUACUCCAAAACUUGAUUAACACGCUCCGUUUGUCCAUCAGUUUGAGGAUGGAAUGCCGAAGAUAGUUUUAUAUCCACUUUUAGAAUCUUGAAAAGAGUCCAUCAAAAUCUUGAUACAAAUUAAGUUCUCUUAUCUAAUAUAAUAUCCUUGGAUAAUCCAUGAUAGCAAUAGAUAUUGUCAAGAAAGAGCUUAGCUAUUUCUUCACUUAUGAUAGAUUUUGUACAUGGUACAAAAUGUGCCAUCUUGGUAAAGUGAUCUACUAUCACGAAUAUAGAGUCAUAAGAACCUGAGAUUGGAAGAUCCGUCAUGAAGUCCAUAGAAACAGAAGACCAUAGUUGUUCUAGAAUGGGUAAUGGCUGAAGAAGUCCGUAAGGUCGAUGAUGAGGAGAUUUUGAUCUCGAACAAACAUCACAAGUUUGUACAAAAUUUUUAACUGCUUUCCACAUUUGUGGCCACCAAUAAUCCCUGGAUAUUAGUUCCAAAGUUUUAUUGUACCCAAAAUGUCAUGUUGUUGGGAAGUUGUGAUAAGCUUGAAAAAUACGUAAACGUGCUUCUCGUUUUGGAACAUAUAGGCGUCCUUCAAAAUAGAGUAGGUUGUUCUUGAAUUCAAAUUUAGAGGGAUCAUGAGAAUUAAAAGAAUUAUUCUUGAUAUCAUGAAUAAGAGGGUCUGAAGACAUACUUAACUAGACUUACUUAAGAAAAGUUAAAUCAACAGUCAAUGUUGAUUUUAUUGCUCGAAGAUGAAAUUGCUCCAGUUUCAAGAGAACCAUUCUUUGUUGCUCAAAAGCUGCAUCUCCUUCUUUUGGUCCAAGAUAAGAAUGUCUAGACAAGGCAUCGGACAAACCUUAUUAUUUUCCUAGUCGAUAAGUGAUGAUGAACUCGAAUCUUGAUAAAGACAUGCUCUAACGAGCUUGACGAUGAUUUAAUACGUGUGUUGACAUAAAAUACUCAAGGUUCUUGUGAUCCGCAUAUACGGUGACUGGAUUGGAAGUGCCUUGUAAAUAAUGAUGCCAUUCUUGAAAAGAAUCCACAAUUGCAAGAAGUUUUUUGUCAUGGAAGCUCAUAAUUGAUUUCUGCUGCUGAGAAUUUUCUUGAAUGAAAGGCUACGGAAUGAAGUUUGUCAUCUGUUCCCAUUUGAGAUAAAACCGCACCUAGAGCAAAGUUUGAUGCAUCUGUUUCCAUAAAGAAUACUUUAAAAAAAUCAACAUGAUACAAGAUUGGUGCAGAAACAAACGUUGUCUUCAAAGAUUCAAAAGUAACUUCCGCUUCUUGAUUUUAUUGGAGUUUGUCUUUACAAGUUAAGUGUGUACGUGGAGUUGCAACUCGAGAAAAGUCCUUGAUGAAGAUCCGAUAGUAGUUGGCAAAUCUCAAAAAGCAUUGGACAUCUCUUAUCAUUUUUGGAAUCUUCCAAUCUAUAGUAGUUUGAAUUUUCUUAGGAUCCAUCAUAAGUCCAUUUGAAAUGAUGUAACCUAAGAAAUCGACUUGAGUAAUGUGGAAUACACACUUUUCUAUCUUAACAUAGAAUCCUAUAUCUCUUAAUUUUUGCAACACACGACGAACAUGAAGUUCAUGUUCUUCUGGAUUCUUAGAAUAGAUCAAGAUGUCGUCUAAAUAACAGACCACAAAAUCGUCCAAAAAUUCUCAAAAAACAUCAUUCAUUAGAUGUUGAAAAGCUGUUGCUGCAUUUGUAAGUCCAAAAGGCAUGACGUUAUAUUCAAAAUGUCCAUACCAAGUUCGAAACGUAGUCUUCCAUUCAUCUCCUUCUUUGAUGCGUACUACAUUAUAUGCUCUCCGGAGAUCUAUUUUUGUAUAGAUCUUAGCUUGAUUCAACUGAUCAAGAAGUCUAGAUAUUAAAGGUAGUGGAUACCUGUACUUGAUGGUAAUCUUGUUGAGUCCUCAAUAAUCAACACACAUCCGCAAUGAUCCAUCAUUUUUCUUCACAAAUAGAAUUGGAGUUCCUGCCGGAGAUUUAGAAUGGUAUAUGAAAUUCUUGGCUAGAUUUUCUUCAAUAUACUCCUUGAAUUCAGUCAACUCAUUUUGUGAUAAAUUGUAGAUUGGUCCGAAUGGCGGUUGUGCUCCUUCUUAAAGGUUAAUUGAGCAAUCAUAGAGACGAUGUUUCAGUAGUGUAUCCGCAUUCUUUUUUUUGAAUACAUCUUGAAAUUCUUAAUAUUGGCUUGGAAUGCCACUUGAAGUCUUUCCACCAGUAAAAACAAGUGUGGCAUAAAUAAUAUAUGGUGAUUCUUUCAUAGUAGCAUGCAAGAAAGCUUUUGCACCUAUAAAUACGGAUUUAAUUGAACUAGACUUAUGACUAUCUACUUGAUUAACUACACUCUUAGUUAUACUUUUAGAGAAAGUAAGAGUUUGGAAAAUCCAAUCUAUUUGAAGGUUGUAUUUUUCUAACCACGAUAAACCUAAAAUGAUUGGAUUAGAGGGACAUCUAAUGAUAUUAAAUACUACAAAGCUAUUAUGACUAUUGAUUAUUACUUCUAUAGAAAGGGUUUCGUGAAUAAUAUCUCUAGAAGACAAUGGACGACCAUCUAUGACUUCUACAUGAACAUGUUUAGUUUUCUUUAUUAAAGAUAUGCUAUGUCUUUUAGUAAAUUCUUCAUCUAAAAAACACGCUGAGGCUCCUAAAUCUAAUAAGGCAGAGGCUUUGUAAUAUUUAGGUCCUAAAAUAAUAUUUAAUGUAAAACAAGGAGAGGGCUCUAAGGAGAGAAUAAGACCUUUACUAGAUGUUGUGCAAGGUUCUAGCUGCACGGUCCCUAUUGUAGCUGGACAAACUCAUUUUUUGACAUAUUGUCUUCUUUCACAGCCAUACUCCUCAUUUUGUGAUUGCAUCAUUUCUUUGGACAAUGUUGAGCAGUGUACUUUGCUUCUCCACAAUAUAAACAUAUUCCUUCUUGACAACCACAAGUCUUUUCUUGCUCAGUAAGAGGUUUGAAACGUACUACAUCAAUUUACAUAUCCUCUACUUUUGAAUGUAUGUGUUGAAGAGGUGUUGGUGUUGCCAUUGAAUUAUAGUAUCGUUGAGGUCUACUUGUACGGUUCUCACAUCGAAAUUCAAAAAGGUGAUUAUCACACUUCAUAGCAAAGUCAACUGUUUAACUCAAUGUUUGAGGAUCAGGUAAGUUGAGCAUUAAUUUUUUUACCUCAUAUUGUAAUCCGUAGAAAAAUUGGCUAAUAAGUGCAGCAUCAUCCCACUUGAUAUCAGUUACAAGUUGUCAAAAUUAUGAAGUGUACAACAUUAUUGAUCGAUUGCCUUAUUGUAAAAUAUGGAUCUUAUUGGUUGGAACACGAAUUGCAUCAUGCUCUCCAUACAUGGAUCAAAACUCUACUAAAAAAGCCUCUAGAUUAUCCAAUAUUGGAUCUCGUCGUUCAAGAAAAGAUGAAAACCAUGAUAGUGCUGAACUUGGAAGAAGCGUACCAAUGAAUCUAACUUAUGAUCUUGGAGUUGGAUAGCUUUGGGAUUGAAGUUCAAUCACAAGUUGCACUUGAUUGAUAAAUCCUCAAAACUUGGAUUUGGUACCACCAAACUUCUUAAGUAGGGCAAUUCUUGGUUCUUUAAUACUGGAAGGGCGUUCCACUAUAGGAAAAAGGAGAUAAUUUGUUGUAGAUUUUGAAGUAGCUCCAACCAUUUCUAUAUCUUCACUUUCUGCCAAUCUUAUUGCUCCUUGUGGUAGUAAAUUGAGUUGAUGCAUCGUAAGCAUUAACUCCCUCAAUUGUUCUUGCAUUUGUGCCAUUGCAUUCUUCAUUUCAACAAGUUCUGCUAUAAUAACACUUAGAAAAGCGAAGAUGUCUAAUAUCACUCAAGACAAAUAGAAGAGAGGACUUGAGAACAAAGAAAAUACUAAGAACAAUAUCAGUUUAGAAGAGGGUAAUCGACAACUUCUAAUAUGCUUCUAUCUUAUCAAGAAAAAUGGAUAAUCCAUUCUUAAUCAAGAUUAGAAAAAGCUUUGAUAUUAUAGGUGUACUCUUGUCAAUCUGUCAAAGACAAGAACUUGAUGAAAAAAGUAAUUCAGACAAGUCAAUCUUCACUCAAAGAAAGGUAACAAAAUAUAAAUAACGAAGUAUGGAUAUUGAAAGUGAAAUUAGAAUGGCUAUUGCUAAAAGACAAGAAAACUAGAGACCCUUGAAACUAGACUAGAAGCAAUAAAGGAAUUGACAAGAAUGAAGAAGGCUUCACUCUUAUCUCUAUAUAUACUGUUUAACUAGGGGCUAUGUGGUAGUGUUUUAUGGGACCUCUAAUAUGUAUUGACUUUGUAGGACACAUGCCUUGACUUACAAGGCAAGUUUUUCUACAUGUGGGCCACAUAGUUAGCUUCAACUUCAAGCUAACAACAUGUGUGGCACAUGGCCAACUUGUUGAUCACGUUUUUAAUCCAAAAAAUCAAUUAAAGACACCUAUGAAGUCAAAGCAGCAUCUAUGAAGCUUCUAAGAAGCUUAAAUAUUAAAUACUAUAGAAUUAACUUAUUUUUACUUACUUUUAUUUUCUUCCACCUAUUUUUAUUUGUAAUUACUAGCUUAGAUGAGUUUGUCUGUUACACUUUUACAAUCUGAUAUCUCAACAAACUUCUACAACUCCUAUGUAUUUGCUAGUGAUUUCUAGAUUCUAACCUAAUCUUAUAAUAACCUCUUUGAAUAACUGAAUCAAUCAUUCGUCCUCCUAAACUGACUAUCCUCUAAACUAUUAAUCUAUUUUACCAAUAUCUUAUAAAAACAUAUUAAUAUCUAUUCUACAAUCAUCAUAUAGAAUGUCUAUUUUAUCUAAUAUUAUAUUAUAUCACAAAAGUUUAUUUGGCUACCAAUAUUGCUCACAAAUUAUAGAAAAUAUAAUCCUUCUUUUUAUACAAAAAAAUAAAUGAAGAUAAGUAUUCUAACUUAAAAUAAUUCUUACAGAAAAAAAUCAUCACAUUUCUAUAUAAACCAGAAGAAUAUAGCACAUUAAUUGUAAAUGGUAGAACAAAAAAUAUAUAGUCAAAUGGGUGGAGACAUACAUUGUAAGAUUGUCUAGCUGAAGAAAAUCUUUUUUAAGGUUGUAAAAGAAAUGGCUAAAAAUAAUAUUGAUUAUAAUAACUCUUUGUAUUAUACUUUCAACUUGAGUCUACUAUUUGAAUUCUCAUAUCAAGAUGAGGGACCUAAAGAAAGUAUUGUAUUAAUUGACAUGGUAGAUCUCGUUCAAUAUGACAGAAUUCAAAUAAGUAUAGUACAAAAAUCUUGUACUUCAAUCAACAUGAUAAAUCUCACUUGACUCAAUACAGCUUAAAUAAGCAUAAUGUAAUAAUUUCAUGUUCUAGUUGAUAUAAUAGAUCUUCUUUGAUAUGACACAAUUCAAACAAGCAUAAUACAAAAAUUCCAUGCUUUAGUCAACAUAAUAUAUCUCACUUGAAGCAACAUAGUUUAAACAAACAAAAUGCAACAAGUUUGUACUUUGGUCAACAUGAUAGAUCAUGUUUGAUGCAACACAACUUGAAUAAGCAUAAUACAAUAGAGCUUGAAUAUACAUAGUAUUGAUUGUAGUAUAGAGACUAAAAGAUUAUUGACUCAUAAAUAGAAAAUAUAAACAAAUGUGAGCAGACUUAAUAUAUGAAGUAGAAAUAAGAUAAAGAAAUUGUUUCAAGUUAUAUCUCUUGGUUUAUUUGAAAUAGAUAAUUAGGAUUCAUUAAAGAAGCCAAAAAAUAGAAGCACCUAUGAUUGUUAUCAUAAUAAAGAAUAUGAUAAUUGUAAUGAAUGUGUUUGGUUUUAUUGAUUGCAGGUCCAAUAGUAGAAAAAUGAAUAAAAACAAAUUUAAUUUAAUUUAAAGAAGAAAUAUAUAGAAUAUCAUAUGAUGAUAUAUGAUGCUAUUAACUUUUGAAAAUAAAUGCAUCUAACAAAAAAAGUUAUUUCUUUAUUAAAUAAAUAUGAAAUAUUAUAGUAUAAUAAAUUAUAAUAUAUUUUAAAUAUUAAAAUUAAAUUAGAUCAAAAUUCUAUUUUAAUGAAUAUUAUAAAUUUUUUAAUAAAAUAAUAAUAAUAUUUAAUAAUUUAUUUAUAAUUAUAUAGAGUCAAAUAUAUAUAUAUAUGUCAUGGACAUACAUUGGAAGAUUCUUCGAAUAUUCUUCUUGAAUAUUCUUCUAGAAUAUUCUCUAAAGAUUCUCUAAAGAUUCUUUUAGAAGGUUCUAGAAGAUUCUUAGAAUAUUCCCUAAAGAUUCUCUUAGAAGGUUCUAGAAUAUUCUUAGAAGGUUCUAGAAUAUUCUGAUAGAUUCUAGAAAGUUGAUCGAGAAGUUUCCUAAUUAGUAGAAGUUGUUGGAGAAGCGUCCUAGUUAGCGGAAGUAGCUCGAGAAGCUUCCUAUUCAGUAGUAUAUAUAGGAGUCGAGGCUGAAGGGUUCUUCAGUCUCGACAACACAUCUCUUGGAGUUCUAGCUCACCUUUCUGGUGUUGUUCUUGUACUCAUCUGUUUAACCUAGUUCUGCCACUUCUUCUUGAACUUCUUGUUAGAUUUCAAGUCUGUAUUUUGUGUCCGUGACAGUUUGUCGAGACUGCAUUUUCACUGGUAUCAGAGCUAGUUCCUUCUUGUUAGAGAGUGGAUUACCCCUCUUCUUGAAGGUGUGCUAGUGUUUUAGAGGUUGCGGAUUACCCUCCUCUAAACUGAUAUCUCUUCUUUCUCAAUAUUGGAGCCUUAUUCUUCUUGGAGAGAGUGGAUUACCCCUCAUCUUGGAGUCUUAAGGCAUUUUAGAGGUUGCGGAGUACUCUCCUCUGAACCAAUAUUGUUCUCUUGUCAAAACUCUUUUUUCUUCUUUCUGAAGGUUAGCCGAAGGUUAAGACGUUAAAAUGGCUGAAAGUUUGGAAUCCAAACUAGACGCCAUCAUGAAUGCUCAUGCCUCGUUGUCACAUAGGACAACAGAGAUCGAAGGAGUUAUGGUAGGACUCCAUAACAAUGGAGCAUCUGGGAUAGCGCCAUCUAAAGCAUAUCAGCCUCAAACUUCUGCGCCAGAAGAAGCAGUUCUACCUCCAUUUCAACAAGAUCGAGUAGUCCUACAACGAAAGGAGCCUCGAGUUAGUCUUCCGGAUAAGUUUGAUGGAACUCGUUCCAAGUUUCGAGGUUUUGUCAACCAAAUCAGGUUGAUAACAAUUUUACAGCCCGAACGUUAUCCGACGGAGGAAGUGCGUGUUGGGCUUGUUGGAACCUUGCUUACAGCACAAGCUCUGUCUUGGUUUACUCCCUUGUUCGAGAAGCGAUCGCCAAUCCUGAGCAACUUUGAAACGUUCUUGGAGGCAUUUGCAGAAGCAUUUGGCGAGCAUGAUAAAGUUCGAUGGGCUACAACAAAGAUCCGAUCGCUACGACAACGAACACGCUCUGCAUCAGUCUAUGCCUCGGAUUUCAGACAAUUGGCAAGUGACAUUAAUUGGGGUGAAGAGGCAUUGGUGAGUUAGUUUUAUUGGGGCUUGAAGGAUGAUGUGAAGGACUUGCUGUUAUCUCUUCCUGAUCCUCAAACGCUCAACGAAGCUAUUAGCCAAGUUGUAAAGUGUGACAACCGCCUAUUCCAGCGUCGCCAAGAGCAACGUCCAAGACACCAAAUGACUCGUUACAACGUGACUAUGUCUGCAAAUAUCUUAAACUCACAUUCGGAGGCAACAGACAUGCAAAUCGACACGGCGUGUGUCCGAUCUCUUACUCCAACAGAGAAGAAACGGCGUAUGGAGGAAGGGUUAUGUUUGUACUGUGGAGAAGAAGGUCACAAAGUUGGAAAUUACCCAAAGAAGCAAAAUUGGCACCCUGUCAAGACUAGAAGUGCGAUGAUUCCGGAAAACGACGACGCCCAGCCACAGUAGGAACCGUGCGGCUGGACAAUCUAAUAUCACGACAACAAUCAGGUUCCUCCUUCUCUGUCCAACCUGCCCGUUGUUUUACAAUUCCUUUGUUUUUAGGCCCUCAAAAACAAAAAACUUUAGCUUUAUUGGAUUCGGGGGCAUCUACUUGUUUUUUAGAUGAAGAGUUUGCUAAACGCCACAAGAUCCGUUUAGUACAGAAGUCCAAACCUGUUCACGUAGAGGUGAUAGAUGGACGACCCUUAUUGUCAGGCAAUGUUACCCACAAAUCAGAACCUAUAGAAGUGGUGUUUAAGGACCAUAGUAGUCACGUUAUUUUUAAUAUUAUUAGAACCCCAUCAAGCCAUGUUAUCCUUGGUCUUUCUUGGUUAGAAGAUCAUAAUCCGUCCAUUGAUUGGAGGCUACAAAGGAUAACAUUUCCUGAAAAAAAUAAUAAUAAACCUGUUGGUAGAACCUACAUAAAGAAAUCCAUGUUUAUUGGAGCGAGAGCGUUCCUAAGAUCGUCCAAGGAAGGCGCACCAUUUGUCAUUUAUGCAGCUCCAACUAGCGGCGAGAAUAUCUCAACAUCGAAUAUACCAGAGCAAUAUAGGGAUUUUGAAGACGUGUUUCAGAAGAAGAACGCCGAUAUACUGCAGGAACAUCGACCAUAUGAUUGCGCCAUAGACUUAGAGGAAGGAGCGCAACCACCUUUUGGUCCAAUAUACAACCUAUCGCAGACGAAGUUGGCAGAAUUGCGGAAGUACAUCGAUGAGAAUCUAGCCAAGAAUUUUAUUCGACAUUCAAAGUCGCCAGCUGGAGCACCAAUCCUAUUCGUGAAGAAAAAGGAUGGCUCACUGCAGAUGUGCGUGGACUACCGAGGACUCAACAAGGUGACCAAGAAAAAUCGCUAUCCCUUACCUUUGAUCUCCGGCCUCUUAGAUCAACUUGGACGUGCAAGGAUUUUUACAAAGAUUGAUUUAAGAGGAGCCUACAACCUUGUGCGAAUCAAAGAAGGAGAUGAAUGGAAGACAGCCUUUCGUACAAGGUAUGGCCAUUUUGAGUACAAUGUCAUGCCUUUUGGUCUUACCAAUGCUCCAGCGGUCUUUCAGCAUAUGAUGAACGACAUCUUUCGGGAGUACCUCGAUGACUUUGUUGUCAUCUAUCUGGAUGAUAUUUUGAUAUUUUCUAAGAAUGAAGAAGAAUAUGAGAAGCACGUUUGUUUGGUUCUUGAAAAACUAUGCGAACGAGGACUCUACGCCAAGUUGGAGAAGUGUCAAUUUCACCAGAAUGAGAUGGAAUUUUUGGGCUUCAUUGCGACUACAGAGGGCUUGAAGAUGGAUCCAAAAAAGGUAGAAGCAAUUAUAUCUUGGGAAGUUCCGAAGACGGUUAGAGAUGUUCAGUGUUUUCUUGGAUUUGCUAACUUCUAUCGGAUCUUCAUCAAGAAUUAUUCUCAAGUUGCUGCACCACUCACGCAUCUAACAAGCAAAGACAAGCUCGAAUGGAGAUCACAAGCAGCAAAAGCAUUUCAAGAUCUCAAGACGGCAUUCACUACGGCUGCAAUCUUGGUAUACCCUGACUUUGCAAAGGCUUUCUAUUUAGAGACCGAUGCUUCAGAUUUUGCUUUGGGAGCUGUGCUUUCACAGAUGGGCAUAGACAAGAAGCUUCACCCAGUUGCGUUCUAUUCACGGAAGUUCUCUGCUGCUGAGAUCAACUACGAGAUCCACGACAAAGAGCUGCUUGCUAUAGUGGAUGCCUUCCAAGAGUGGCGUCACUUCCUCAAAGGAGCUGCACAUCCAGUGACUGUUUAUACGGACCACAAGAAUUUGGAGUACUUCAUGACAGCUCGAAUUUUGAAUCGUCGUCAAGCUCGAUGGAAUAUGUCUCUAUCACGAUUUGACUUUAUUAUCACCUACCGCCCUGGAAAACAGCAAGGAUUAUCUGACGCAUUAUUGAGGAGAUCGUAUCUUGCGCCAAAGGCUGGAGAAGCAGCGUUUGAUCAACAAUGUACAACAUUGUUGAAACCAAAAAAAUUCAGGAUUUUUGCUACUCUUGCAAUUAUCGAUGAUGGCUUCCUCAGCGAGGUACGUACUGCAACCAUUGAGGAUUCUAUAGCUCUUGACAUCAAACAACGUGUCGAUAAUGACAAGUUUAAGGUGGAGGGAGAUCUUCUGUAUUUUGAGGAGCGGUUGUAUAUCCCGAAAGGACCAACUCGACUCCGAGUACUUCAAUCUCGCCACGACUUUCCAGCUGCGGGACAUUUUGGAUUCAACAAGACUUUGGAGCUCAUUUCACGAGAUUUUUGGUGGCCCCAAAUGUGGAAGGAUGUGAAGGAAUUUUUCCUUUCUUGUGAUGUUUGUUCAAGAUCCAAGAUCCCUCGACAUCGUCCGUAUGGACUUCUCCAGCCAUUGCCUAUUCCGCACCGACCAUGGUCUUCAGUUUCUAUGGACUUCAUUACGGACCUACCGCCAUCGAAUUCAUUUGACAACAUCUUUGUUGUGGUGGAUCGAUUUACAAAGAUGGCGCAUUUUGUGCCUUGCAAGAAAACAUCGUCAAGUGAAGACACCGCAAGACUCUUUCUUGAUAACAUAUAUCGUUAUCAUGGCCUACCAGAUGAUAUCGUGUCGGAUCGAGGUACUCAGUUUGUAUCCAAGUUUUGGAGGUCCCUCUUUGAGAUAUUGAAGGUGGAUAUUAAGCUCUCUUCGACUUUUCAUCCUCAAACUGACGGUCAAACGGAGCGGGUGAAUCAAGUUUUGGAGCAAUAUUUAUGAUGCAGCAUCAACUAUCAACAAGAUGAUUGGACUGCAUAUCUACCGCUUGCUGAGUUCGCAUACAACAACACUCUUCAUGCGUCAACUCAACAAACACCAUUCUUCUCAAACUACGGAUACCACCCCAAGUUCGAUUUAUUGAGUUCUUCAGCAAAUAACAACCCAGCAGCUGAAGGAUUUGUGAAGCAACUAUCGGAGCUUCAAGCGACGUUGAAGCUUCAAUUGCAAUCCGCCCAAGAGAGUUACAAGGCAUCUGCAGAUAAAUAUUGAAAUGAGGCGCCUACUUUUAAAGUUGGAAGUAAAGUAUGGCUUCUUUGACGGAAUAUCAAGACCAAGCGGCCAUGUGAUAAAUUGGACUAUCGUAGAUUAGGGCCAUUUGUUAUCGGGAAGCAGAUCAAUCCGGUGGCAUAUCGUCUGGAGUUACCAGCUACUAUGAAGGUACAUCCAGUCUUUCACGUGUCUUUGUUGGAACCUUAUCGAGAGUCAGCUUUUCCCCAAAGAGUACAAAGUCCGCCACCAAGUAUCGAAAUUGAAAACCAUGAGGAAUACGAGGUGGAAAAGGUACUAGAUUCACGGCUUAAUAGGAGAAAAUUGGAGUAUUUAGUGCAUUUGAGUGGAUAUGACAUCAAUGAACGAACGUGGGAGCGUGCCAAAAAUCUUGCCAAUGCACCAAAAAAGGUACAAGAAUUUCAUCAACGAUAUCCUCAUAAACCUAAGCCGAUUCAACGAUAGCUUCUUGCUGAAGCUUGCUCAUCAAGUAGCAUAAAAAGGGGGGAGGGCACCUCCAAAACCCAUAGUUCGAUAGUGUAGAACUUUGUUAGCAACUAUAGUUUGCUCUCAUCAUUUUAGCCUUUGGACAUGGAUAGUCAAGAUACUACACUUGUUAUGUCAUCACAAGCGACUAGCUCACGAAGACGACCGCGAGAUGAAGAACCGCCUGCACCACAACGACGUCGGAGGAUACCAAGCAACAGAUCGCUAGUAAAUGUAUUUGAGGUCGAGCCUGCCUACGACGGUCAGCCAGAAGGUGUGUUUGGAGGACAGUUUCACAAUGAAGACACAGAAGUCCACGCUUGGUCAGAGGUUGAAGGUGUUGGUUACUACCGUUGGCUCCAAGGGCCGAUGAAUCAUUUGCCUCGCGAACAACAAUUGGAAUUCAUAGCGGAUGUGAUGCAACUGAUUUUCAUUUUCUUGCGUUGGUAUUGACUGAUAACAACAUUGCUUCUCGGAGACCUCGAAGUUAGAAGAGGAGGUGAUGUCAUGGACAUACAUUGGAAGAUUCUUCGAAUAUUCUUCUUGAAUAUUCUUCUAGAAUAUUCUCUAAAGAUUCUCUAAAGAUUCUUUUAGAAGGUUCUAGAAGAUUCUUAGAAUAUUCCCUAAAGAUUCUCUUAGAAGGUUCUAGAAUAUUCUUAGAAGGUUCUAGAAUAUUCUGAUAGAUUCUAGGAAGUUGCUCGAGAAGUUUCCUAAUUAGUAGAAGUUGUUGGAGAAGCGUCCGAGUUAGCGGAAGUAGCUCGAGAAGCUUCCUAUUCAGUAGUAUAUAUAGGAGUCGAGGCUGAAGGGUUCUUCAGUCUCGACAACACAUCUCUUGGAGUUCUAGCUCACCUUUUUGGUGUUGUUCUUGUACUCAUCUGUUUAACCUAGUUCUGCCACUUCUUCUUGAACUUCUUGUUAGAUUUCAAGUCUGUAUUUUGUGUCCGUGAUAAUAUAUAUAUAUAUAUAUAUAUAUAUAUAUAUAUAUAUAUAUAUAUAGCAAUACUAAAUACAUUGCCUCAAAUUGCUAUUUCUUUCUUUACAUGACUUUUUGAUUAUUCCUAAAGCAUCCAUGAUGCUAAAUACAUCUUUUAAAAUCUUCAAUCUUACCAUAUUCUAUAUAAAAAUGUUACCUCUACUCAAAACUUCAUCGAAUUCAUAAAAAGAAAUGUUGUGCUUUAUGAAAGCAUUUAUUCACACCUAGGGCUAUACUCUUAUAAAGCUAUGUUUUAAUCUUGCUCGAAAAAAGAUUGUAUUGAAAUAUGAUUGUGGAGGCAAAUAUAAUCUAUCAAAGGAUCCUAUAGAUGCAGAAUGAAUUUAUAAAGGAUCUACAAAAAAGAUUGGCUAUUCUUUUUAAUUUAAUGGAUGCUUAUUUAAGUUGGACAAACUUUGGUACAUUACAAUCACCAAAGCUAAAUACAACCACAAGCCUUUUAAUAACAUUAUUGGAUAUUCUAAUGCUUGCUAUCUUGAAUCUAAUUAAUGUUAAGCAAUGCAACAAAUGAUUAUUGUUAGUAUUGUUAUUAAAGAUAUUUUUUUUCACUUUUAGUUAAAGCAAUCAAAAUACAUAUGCAAUAGCAAAGACCAUUCACAACAAAAAAAUAUGCAUUCAAAAAAGUUAAACUUGGUCGUUAUCAAUUUAUCCUUACUCUUGCAGAUCAACUUCAAAAGGAGAACUUCUACUUUGACUAUUGUAUCAAUAAUGUUGAUCAAAUUAUAUAUCUAUUUUUUAUGCACCUUAGCUUUGUGAAGCUUGCUUCACAAGUAUUAUUAUAUCCUAAUUAUAGAUUGUACUUAUAAGAUCAAUGGAUUAUAUAUGCCAAUAUUCCAUAUCAUUUGCAUAACAAGUUUGAACACCACUUUCUUUGUUGUGGUUGCAUUUAUAUAAUAGAAAAGUAAAAUCUAUUAUUAAUGGAUAUUUGAAUAACUCACAAGUCUUUAUGAAAAUAUCAAGCCAAUUAUUAGAAACUGUAUACAAGACAAAGAUUCAAGAUUAAGAAAUAAAGUUAGUUCUAUAAUAGAAUAAUAACUAGAUAUAAAGUAAGAAGGUCCUGGUUAAAGUACAAGAAGUGAGUUGUUGAGACUAAGGAUCCCCUUAGCCUCAAUUCUUAUAUGUACAUAGGAAGCUUCUUGAGAAGUUUUCAUGAAGCUUGGAAAGAAACUAAGCCUAAGAUCAUACUUUGGUAAAUUUCUAAAUCUUCUAAAGCCUUCUAGAAUCUUCUAGGAUCUCAUAUAAUCUUCUAGAACUUUCUUAGAAUCUAUUGGAACCUUUUAGAAACUUCUUAAAAUCUAUUAGAAUCUUUUGAAACCUUCUAGGAUCUACAAGAACCUUCUUAGAACCUUCUAAAAUCUCCUAGAACCUUCUCAAAACUUCUUUAGUUGUAUAUCCAUGACAUCACCUCCUCCUCUAACUUCAAGGUCUCCGAGAAGUAAUAUUGUUGUAAGUCAGUAUAUGUGUAAGAAGUUGAAGAUCUGUUGCAUGGUGUUUGCUAUAUAUUCCAAUUAUUUUUUUACAAGACAAAUGAUUCAUAGGCCUCUAUAGCCAUCGAUAGUACCUCAAGUCUUUUAUUUGUAACCAAGCAUGAACUUUGGUAUCUUUGUAUCAAGGACAUCAAUCUUAAAAAAAAAAAUCCUCAAUACACUCUUCUAUCAUUGAAGAGAACUACAAAGUCACUCAAAAGGUGAUGUAAUAUUAAAUAGAAUGGUUAUUGUCAAAAACAAAAAAGAUUAGAAAGUCUUAAAAUUACACUAAGACUAGAAAGGCAUUGACAAGAGUGACGAAGGCUUCACUCUUGCCUCCAUAUAUACUAUCUAACUAAGAGCUACAUGGCGAUGUCCUAUAGGACCUCCAACAUAUGUUGACUUUGCUAGCCACAUGUCUUAUCUUGCAAGGCAAGUUAUUCAUGUACGUAUCACGUAGUUGGCUUGUUUCACAAGCUAUUAUACAGAGAUAACUUCUAACCUAUAAAUACAUCUAAAGUUGGAAAAAUUUCUAACCUACAAAUACAUCUAAAGUCAAAACCGUAUCUAUGAAGCUUCUAAAAAGUUGUUCUAAAAGACUUUAUGAAAUUAUUUUAUAUUAACCUACUUCUACUUAAUCAUAUAAGUAACUAUUGAGGUAAAUAUAUAUGUCCAUGACAUUACUCCCCUUUCUAGAGACAAGUUCUACGAAGAGCUGUCUUCAUAUGUUAAGGAAGUCCAAGAUGUGUCAAAUUAUAUUUGCUACAUAUUUUGACCUUUGCUCUCUUCGAAGGUGGUUGAUAGGUCCUCUCAACCAUCUAUAGUAUCCCAUACAAGGGCGAAAAGACCACCUUAUUAUUUAGUCAUUGUUGAGGCCUUCAUAACUUCCUUCAAAUAAAACAUUUGAAACAUCGUUAAGAGUUGUUCCUACCUCUGAUAAAAUCAUUAAACAUUGGGAGUCUCUUCCAAGGUCAUGAUACUUAACAUGUUGUAUCUUGCCAUCUAUUUGAAGAAAGACAUGUCGUACUUGAGGAUCUUUAUUUUGAUUUCGUCAUCUUGAAGGUUGUGAUAAUUGCAAUGUCUCGUUUGGUAAGUCCGCAAAUGAAAGCUCUUGAGUUGAAUCUACUAAUUGUUGGUAUUCCAUUUCAUCACAAAUACACAGAAGCUAUAAUGAAAGAUAGAAGGUAGAAUGUUAUUUUCUUUUGAUCUUGUUUCUUUUAUAGCAAAGGUUUGUUAUUCUUUAUCUUGGUUUUGAUGGAUGUCAUUGAUAAAAGAAUUCAACUUUCUUUGCUGCAUUUACAAGAUUCUUUAAUGGCUCCCAUGUGCGUUCACUAAUAUCAUAUCUUCACUAAUGAACAAGAUAUUCUAACCUAUUUCGGUGCCACCUUGAGUCUAAGACUUCUUCCACCUCAAACUCUUGGUUAUUAUCCACUUUUAUAGGAAGAUGUGGCAUUUGUCUUCUUUCCAAGAUUUUCAUUGUCUUAUAUGGCUCCAAGAGAGACACGUGAAAUAUAGGGUGGAUCUUCAUAGACUUUGGUAAAUGUAAUAGAUAGGUAAUAGGAUUGAUUUGUUCACAAAUAGAAAAAGGUCCUAGUCUAUGAUAAUCUAAUUUAUUACAACGAUAAGUAGUCUUGAAAUUACGACAAAAUAACCAUACCUUGUCACCCAUAUUAUAUUGUGGUUGUUCCUUGCGAUAGGCAUCUGUGUUGGUCUUUUGUCGUUCUUGAGCUCUUUUUAAUUGUAUCUUCAUUAUUGUAUGUAGAUUUGACAAGCGAUUUGCUAAAUCUUUUGCUGCAAGAUUAUCAACUUUUAAAAAGUCAAAAGUAUCAAGACGUGGAUGAUAACAAUAAUUGGCAAAGAAAGGUGUUUGUUGAGUGGAAGAAUGUACCAAAUUAUUAUAUGCAAAUUCUGCCAAUGGUAAAAGAGUUGUCCAAUCAUCUUGAUGAUAAUUGAUAGUACAUCUCAAAUACUACUCCAGAACUUGAUUUAUCUAUUUUGUUUGUCGAUCAGUUUGAGGAUGAAAAUCUGAAGAAAGCUUUAUAUCCAUCUUCAGAUUGGAAGAUCCAUGAUGAAAUCCAUGGAAACAGAAGACCAUGGUUAUUUCAGAAUAGAUAAUAGUUGAAGAAGUCCGUAAGAUCGAUGAUGAGGAGUUUUUUUUUUUUUUUUUUUUAUCUUGAGCAAACAUCACAAGAUUGUAUAAAAUUUUUAAUUGCCUUCUAUAUUUGUGGCCACCAAAAAUCCCUAGAUAUUAAUUCUAAAGUUUUAUUGUACUCAAAAUAUCAUGCUGCUGGAAAGUCAUGACGAGCUUGAAAAACAUGUAAUCGAGCUUCACCUUCUGGAAUAUAUAGGCGUCCUUCAAAAUAUAAUAGAUUAUUCUUGAAUUCAAACUUGGAAGUAUCAUGAGACUUAGAAGAUGUAUCCUUGAUAUCCUGAACAAGAUGAUUACAAGACAUGCUUGAUUGAAUUUGCUUCACAAAUAUUAAAUCAACAGUCAAUGUUGAUUUUAUAGCUUGAAGAUGAAAAUGCUUGAGCUUCAAGAAAAUUGAUCUUUAUUGAUCAAAAGAUGCAUCUCUUUCUUUUGGUAUAAGAUAAGAACGUCUAGAAAGAGCGUCCAAUAAACCUUAUUAUUUUUUGGGUCAAUAAGUGAUUUUGAAAUUGAAUCUAGAUAAAGGCAUGCUACAACGGGCUUGACGAUAAUUCAAGACACAUGUUGACAUGAAGUACUCGAGGUUCUUAUGGACUAUAUACAUAAUAACUGGACUUGAGGUGCCUUCUAAAUAAUGACUCCAUUCUUGAAAUGAAUCCACGAUUGAAAGGAGCUCUUUGUCAUGGAUCUCAUAAUUAAUCUCGGAUGCUAAAAAUUUCUUCAAAUGGCAAGCUAUUGGGUGGAAUUUUUCAUUUGUUCCCAUUUGUGACAAUAAAACACCUAUGGCAAAAUCUAAUCCAUCUGUUUCCAUAAAAAAUACCUUAGAGAAGUCAAUGCAAUAUAAGAUUGGUGCAAAAAUAGAUUCUUUUUUUGAAGCAUCAAAUGAUGCUUCUACUUCUUUAUUCCACUCAAGUUUGUCUUUACAAGUCAAACGUGUAAGUAGAGCUGCAACUUGAGAAAAAUUCUUGAUGAAGAUUUGAUAGUAAUUAGCAAAGCCUAAGAAGUACUGUAUAUCUUGUACUGUCCUUCGAAUCUUCCAAUCUAUGAUAGUUUGAAUCUUCUUGGGAUCAAUCAUAAGGCCUUUAUUGGAAAUGAUGUAUCCUAAAAAAUCAACUUGAGUAGUGUGAAAUAUACACUUUUUCAACUUGGCAUAUAAUCCUACAUCUCUAACUUUCUGUAACACGUAAUGAACAUGAAGCUCAUGUUCUUUUAUGUUCUUAGAGUAGAUUAGAAUGUCGUCUAAAUAACAAACAACAAAAUCAUCUAAAAACUCACAGAAAAUAUCAUUCAUAAGAUGUUGAAAAGUGACUUGUACAUUUGUGAGUCCAAAAGGCAUGACAUUAUAUUCAAGAUGUCUAUACCUAGUUCAAAAAGUAGUCUUCCAUUCAUCUCCUUCUUUGAUACGAACUAAGUUGAAUGCUCCUUGUAGAUCUAUUUUGGUAUAGAUCUUUGCUUGAUUGAAUUGGUCAAAAAGUCCUGAAAUCAAAGGCAAAGGAUAUCUAUUUUUGAUAGUGAACUUGUUGAGUCCUCGAUAAUCCACAAACAUUUACAAAGAUCCGUCUUUCUUGUUCACAAAUAAGAUAGGAGUCCCAACUGGAGAUUUAGAAUGACAUAUGAAGUUCUUUGUCAAAUUUUCAUCAAUGUAUUCUUUUAAUGUAGCCAACUCAUUCUGCGAUAAGCUAUAGAUUAGUCCAAAUGGUGGUUGAGCUCCUUCUUGUAGAUCAAUUGAACAAUCGUAAGGUCGAUGCUCGAGGAGAAUAUUUACAUUCUUCUUUUCAAAAACAUCUUAGAAUUCUUGAUAUUACUUAGGAAUACCACUCGAUAUUGUUUCAUCAUUAGAAAUGGGUUUAGCAUAUACAAUAAAAGAUGAUCCUUCUUUUGUAGCAUGCAUAAAAGCUUUUGCACAUACUAGUAAAGAUUUGGACGUACUAGACUUACGUACUAUUUUGCUAACGUGAUCUUGGCUUAUUCUAUUAAGAAAGUUAAGGUUACGAGAAAUCCUAUCUUUUUGAAGGUUAUAUUUUUCUAGCCAUGAUAAUCUUAAAAUAAUUGGAUUAGAAGGAGAUUUUAUUACAUUAAAUACUACUAUACUAUUAUGAUCUUUAAUUGCUAUACCUAAAGGAAUAGUUUCAUAGGUAAUAUUUCCAAAAGACAACGAACGACCAUCUAUGAUUUCUACAUGUACAGAUUUAACUUUCUUCACUAAAGAUAUGUUUUGAUUUUUGGCAAAAUCUUUAUCUAUAAAACAUGUGAAGGCUCUUGAAUCUAACAAGGUAAAGACUUUGUGAUUAUUAGGUCCUAAAUAUACUUCUAUUAUAAAACAAGAUGAAAGAUCUGAGGAGAGGAUAGGACCUUUACUAGGUAUUGCACAUGAUUCUAACUGUAUGGUCCUUAUUGUAGCUGGAAAAACUCAUUUUCCGACACAUUAUCUUCUUUGGUAAUUGUGCUCCUCAUUUUGUAAUUGUGUUGCUUCUUUGGAUAAUAUUGAGUAGUAUACUUAGCUUCUCUACAAUAUAAAUACAACCCCUUUUGGCAACGUCAAGUCUUUUCCUGCUUUGUAAGAGGUUUGAAAUGUAUCAUAUCAAUUUGCAUUGGUUCCGGCUUUGACAAAUACGUUUCAGAAAACUUGGGAGCUAUUGCCAUUACUUAAUUUGUUCUAUUCCAACCAAAUCUUUGUUCUUGACGUCUUUCAAAUAAAUUAUUGUCGCAUACAAUGACUUGAGUAAUAAAUUAUUUAAAAGAUUCUACUUUUGGCAUUGUUAAUAACAAAUCUUUGACGCUAUUCUUCAAUCCAUAUCAAAAUUGGUUGAUAAGUGCUUUGUCGUUCCAGUCCACAUUGCAAGCAAAAUUUUGGAAUUUGAUAGCAUUUAUAGUGGCUGAUCAUGAUCAUUGUUGUAAGGAUAAAAGCUUGGUCUCUGCUACUCGUUCUUGAUCUCUUUCUCCGAAUGUGGCCGUAAACACUUCGAGGAAUGAAUUCAAAUCAUAAAGGAGUUGUGAAUCUUUUUCUAUUAAAGGUGUAAAUCAAAAGAGAGCACUUCUUGAUAAUAAUGUAUCUAUGAAUCCGAUUUGGAUAAAUCCAUAAAGAUUUUGGAAAGGGUGCAACAUUAAAUAGAGCUUGACUUGUUGUAAAAUUCCUUGAAAUUUUGAUCUUGUUCCAUCAAACUUCUCAGACAUACUAAUCCUUGUCCCUAUCAUACUUGUAAAAGCCAAACUUCCUGGAUUUGAUUGUGACUUUAAUCUACUUGCUUCUUUCAACUGGACAACUUCUUACCUCAGACUCUAAACUUCUUCCAUAGACAUAGGCAUAGUACUUCCAUGAUUCACAUUGAAAAUAUGUGAGAUUUCUACUCUUAGAGUGUUGACAAGCUCAUAAAGAUCUAUCAUACUUGCAAAUUUAUUCUCACUUCCAUUGAGAGAAGCAUCCAUAAUCUUUCCUUCUAUAGACAACUCAAACAAAUUCAAAAGUUAAAUUAGAGGAGAGUAAUCCACAACCUUUAAAAAUAUAUCCUAUAAAGAGGGAUAAUCUACUCUAUUUAAGAAAAAGAUCAGUAUUAGAUAACAAGAUUUUUUGUUUAAAGGUGGGUAGUUUGCAACCUUCAAAACAAAACAAUAGAAGUGGGAUAAUCUACUCACUUCUAAAACAAGACAGAAACUAUAUGUUAGUACCCUUGUCAAAUUCUCAAAGACAUGAAUCUCAAAGAAAGAAAAUUCUCAAUAUACUCUUCUAUCAUUGAAGAAAAUUAGAAAGUCACUCAAAAGGUGAUGUAAUAUUAACUAGAAAGUCGUGAAGCCAAAAAUAAAAAAGACUAGAAAGUCGUGAAAUAAAAGUAAGACUAGAAAGGCCUUGACAAGAGUGAAGAAGGCUUCACUCUUGCCUCCAUAUAUACUAUCUAACUAAGAGUUACGUGGCAAUGUCCUAUAGGACCUCCAACAUGUAUUGACUUUGCUAGCUACAUGUCUAAUCUUGUAAGGCAAGUUAUCCAUGUAUGCACCACAUAGUUGGCUUGUUUCAUAAGCUACUAUAUAGAAUUAACUUGUUCCACAAGCUACUAAUACAUUGUUAGCUUUUUGAACAAGUUUCUAACCUACAAACACAUCUAAAGUCAAAACUGUGUCUAUAAAGCUUAUAGCAAGCUGUUCUCACGAACAAACUCAUGUAAGCUAGUAAUAACAUAUAUAAAUAAAUAGAAGUAAGUAAAACUAAGUAAAAAUAGGUUAAUUCUAUAGUAUUUAAUAUGAAAGCUUCCUAGAAGCUUCAUAGAUGCUGCUUUGACUUCAUAGGUGUCUUUAAUUGAUUUUUUGGAUUAAAAACGUGAUCAACAAGUUGGCCAUGUGCCACACAUGUUGUUAGCUUGAAGUUGAAGCUAACUAUGUGGCCCACACGUAGAAAAACUUGCCUUGUAAGUCAAGGCAUGUGUCCUACAAAGUCAAUACAUAUUAGAGGUCCCAUAAAACACUACCACAUAGCCCCUAGUUAAACAGUAUAUAUAGAGAUAAGAGUGAAGCCUUCUUCAUUCUUGUCAAUUCCUUUCUUGCUUCUAGUCUAGUUUCAAGGGUCUCUAGUUUUCUUGUCUUUUGGCAAUAGCCAUUCUAAUUUCACUUUCAAUAUCCAUACUUCGUUAUUUAUAUUUUGUUACCUUUCUUUGAGUGAAGAUUGACUUGUCUGAAUUACUUUUUUCAUCAACUUCUUGUCCUUGACAGAUUGACAAGAGUACACCUACAAUAUCAAAGCUUUGUCUAAUCUUGAUUAAGAAUGGAUUAUCCAUUUUUCUUGAUAAGAUAGAAGCAUAUUAGAAGUUGUCGAUUACCCUCUUCUAAACUGAUAUUGUUCUUAGUAUUUUCUUUGUUCUCAAGUCCUCUCUUCUAUUUGUCUUGAGUGAUAUUAGACAUCUUCGCUUUUCUAAGUGUUAUUAUAGCAGAACUUGUUGAAAUGAAGAAUGCAAUGGCACAAAUGCAAGAACAAUUGAGGGAGUUAAUGCUUACGAUGCAUCAACUCAAUUUACCACCACAAGGAGCAAUAAGAUUGGCAGAAAGUGAAGAUAUAGAAAUGGUUGGAGCUACUUCAAAAUCUACAACAAAUUAUCUCCUUUUUCCUAUAGUGGAACGCCCUUCCAGUAUUAAAGAACCAAGAAUUGCCCUACUUAAGAAGUUUGGUGGUACCAAAUCCAAGUUUUGAGGAUUUAUCAAUCAAGUGCAACUUGUGAUUGAACUUCAAUCCCAAAGCUAUCCAACUCCAAGAUCAUAAGUUAGAUUCAUUGGUACGCUUCUUCCAAGUUCAGCACUAUCAUGGUUUUCAUCUUUUCUUGAACGACGAGAUCCAAUAUUGGAUAAUCUAGAGGCUUUUUUAGUAGAGUUUUGAUCCAUGUAUGGAGAGCAUGAUGCAAUUCGUGUUCCAACCAAUAAGAUCCAUAUUUUACAAUAAGGCAAUCGAUCAAUAAUGUUGUACACUUCAUAAUUUUGACAACUUGUAACUGAUAUCAAGUGGGAUGAUGCUGCACUUAUUAGCCAAUUUUUCUACGGAUUACAAUAUGAGGUAAAAAAAUUAAUGCUCAACUUACCUGAUCCUCAAACAUUGAGUUAAACAGUUGACUUUGCUAUGAAGUGUGAUAAUCACCUUUUUGAAUUUCGAUGUGAGAACCGUACAAGUAGACCUCAACGAUACUAUAAUUCAAUGGCAACACCAACACCUCUUCAACACAUACAUUCAAAAGUAGAGGAUAUGUAAAUUGAUGUAGUACGUUUCAAACCUCUUACUGAGCAAGAAAAGACUUGUGGUUGUCAAGAAGGAAUAUGUUUAUAUUGUGGAGAAGCAAAGUACACUGCUCAACAUUGUCCAAAGAAAUGAUGCAAUCACAAAAUGAGGAGUAUGGCUGUGAAAGAAGACAAUAUGUCAAAAAAUGAGUUUGUCCAGCUACAAUAGGGACCGUGCAGCUAGAACCUUGCACAACAUCUAGUAAAGGUCCUAUUCUCUCCUUAGAGCCCUCUCCUUGUUUUACAUUAAAUAUUAUUUUAGGACCUAAAUAUUACAAAGCCUCUGCCUUAUUAGAUUUAGGAGCCUCAGCGUGUUUUUUAGAUGAAGAAUUUACUAAAAGACAUAGCAUAUCUUUAAUAAAGAAAACUAAACAUAUUCAUGUAGAAGUCAUAGAUGGUCGUCCAUUGUCUUCUAGAGAUAUUAUUCACGAAACCCUUUCUAUAGAAGUAAUAAUCAAUAGUCAUAAUAGCUUUGUAGUAUUUAAUAUCAUUAGAUGUCCCUCUAAUCCAAUCAUUUUAGGUUUAUCGUGGUUAGAAAAAUACAACCUUCAAAUAGAUUGGAUUUUCCAAACUCUUACUUUCUCUAAAAGUAUAACUAAGAGUGUAGUUAAUCAAGUAGAUAGUCAUAAGUCUAGUUCAAUUAAAUCCGUAUUUAUAGGUGCAAAAGCUUUCUUGCAUGCUACUAUGAAAGAAUCACCAUAUAUUAUUUAUGCCACACUUGUUUUUACUGGUGGAAAGACUUCAAGUGGCAUUCCAAGCCAAUAUUAAGAAUUUCAAGAUGUAUUCAAAAAAAAGAAUGCGGAUACACUACUGAAACAUCGUCUCUAUGAUUGCUCAAUUAACCUUUAAGAAGGAGCACAACCGCCAUUCGGACCAAUCUACAAUUUAUCACAAAAUGAGUUGACUGAAUUCAAGGAGUAUAUUGAAGAAAAUCUAGCCAAGAAUUUCAUAUACCAUUCUAAAUCUCCGGCAGGAACUCCAAUUCUAUUUGUGAAGAAAAAUGAUGGAUCAUUGCGGAUGUGUGUUGAUUAUUGAGGACUCAACAAGAUUACCAUCAAGUACAGGUAUCCACUACCUUUAAUAUCUAGACUUCUUGAUCAGUUGAAUCAAGCUAAGAUCUAUACAAAAAUAGAUCUCCGGAGAGCAUAUAAUGUAGUACGCAUCAAAGAAGGAGAUGAAUGGAAGACUACGUUUCGAACUUGGUAUGGACAUUUUGAAUAUAACGUCAUGCCUUUUGGACUUACAAAUGCAGCAACAGCUUUUCAACAUCUAAUGAAUGAUGUUUUUUGAGAAUUUUUGGACGAUUUUGUGGUCUGUUAUUUAGACGACAUCUUGAUCUAUUCUAAGAAUCCAGAAGAACAUGAACUUCAUGUUCGUCGUGUGUUGCAAAAAUUAAGAGAUAUAGGAUUCUAUGUUAAGAUAGAAAAGUGUGUAUUCCACAUUACUCAAGUCGAUUUCUUAGGUUACAUCAUUUCAAAUGGACUUAUGAUGGAUCCUAAGAAAAUUCAAACUACUAUAGAUUGGAAGAUUCCAAAAAUGAUAAGAGAUGUCCAAUGCUUUUUGAGAUUUGCCAACUACUAUCGGAUCUUCAUCAAGGACUUUUCUCGAGUUGCAACUCCACGUACACACUUAACUUGUAAAGACAAACUCCAAUAAAAUCAAGAAGCGGAAGUUACUUUUGAAUCUUUGAAGACAACGUUUGUUUCUGCACCAAUCUUGUAUCAUGUUGAUUUUUUUAAAGUAUUCUUUAUGGAAACAGAUGCAUCAAACUUUGCUCUAGGUGCGGUUUUAUCUCAAAUGGGAACAGAUGACAAACUUCAUUCCGUAGCCUUUCAUUCAAGAAAAUUCUCAGCAGCAGAAAUCAAUUAUGAGCUUCCAUGACAAAAAACUUCUUGCAAUUGUGGAUUCUUUUCAAGAAUGGCAUCAUUAUUUACAAGGCACUUCCAAUCCAGUCACCGUAUAUGCGGAUCACAAGAACCUUGAGUAUUUUAUGUCAACACACGUAUUAAAUCAUCGUCAAGCUCGUUAGAGCAUGUCUUUAUCAAGAUUCGAGUUCAUCAUCACUUAUCGACUAGGAAAACAAUAAGGUUUGUCCGAUGCCUUGUCUAGACAUUCUUAUCUUGGACCAAAAGAAGGAGAUGCAGCUUUUGAGCAACAAAGAAUGGUUCUCUUGAAACUGGAGCAAUUUCAUCUUCGAGCAAUAAAAUCAACAUUGACUGUUGAUUUAACUUUUCUUAAGUAAGUCUAGUUAAGUAUGUCUUCAGACCCUCUUAUUCAUGAUAUCAAGAAUAAUUCUUUUAAUUCUCAUGAUCCCUCUAAAUUUGAAUUCAAGAACAACCUACUCUAUUUUGAAGGACGCCUAUAUGUUCCAAAACGAGAAGCACGUUUACGUAUUUUUCAAGCUUAUCACAACUUCCCAACAACAUGACAUUUUGGGUACAAUAAAACUUUGGAACUAAUAUCCAGGGAUUAUUGGUGGCCACAAAUGUGGAAAGCAGUUAAAAAUUUUGUACAAACUUGUGAUGUUUGUUCGAGAUCAAAAUCUCCUCAUCAUCGACCUUACGGACUUCUUCAGCCAUUACCCAUUCUAGAACAACUAUGGUCUUCUGUUUCUAUGGACUUCAUGACGGAUCUUCCAAUCUCAGGUUCUUAUGACUCUAUAUUCGUGAUAGUAGAUCACUUUACCAAGAUGGCACAUUUUGUACCAUGUACAAAAUCUAUCAUAAGUGAAGAAAUAGCUAAGCUCUUUCUUGACAAUAUCUAUUGCUAUCAUGGAUUAUCCAAGGAUAUUAUAUUAGAUAAGAGAACUUAAUUUGUAUCAAGAUUUUGAUGGACUCUUUUCAAGAUUCUAAAAGUGGAUAUAAAACUAUCUUCGGCAUUCCAUCCUCAAACUGAUGGACAAACGGAGCGUGUUAAUCAAGUUUUGGAGUAAUAUUUAAGAUGUACCAUUAACUAUGAACAAGAUGAUUGGAUAACUCUUUUGCCAUUGGCAGAGUUUUCUUAUAAUAAUACGGUACAUUCUUCUACAAAAAAAACACCUUUCUUUGCUAAUUAUGAUUAUCAUCCACAACUUCAUACUUUUGACUUUUCAAAAGUUGAUAAUCCUGUUGCAAAAGAUUUGGCGAUUCAUUUAUGAGAGCUACAUGCAAUGAUGAAGGCAUAGUUAAAAGAGGCUCAAGAACAACAAAAGGUCAAUGUAGAUGUCUAUCGAAAAGAACAACCAUCAUUCCUCUUUGGUGAUAAGGUAUGGCUACUUCAUCGCAAUAUCAAGACUACUUGUCUUUGUGACAAGUUGGACUAUCGAAGGCUUGGACCAUUUUCUAUUUCUACACAAAUCAAUCCAGUUGCAUAUCGUUUACAUCUACCGGAGUCAAUGAAAAUCCAUCCAGUAUUCGUCGUGUCUCUUCUUGAACCAUACAAGAUAGUGGACAUACUAAGAAGACGACAAGCUCCAUCUCUUCUUGUAGAAGUCAAGAAGAGUUUGAAGUAGAAGAAGUCUUAGAUUCAAGGCGGCGCCAAAAUAAAUUAGAAUAUCUUGUCCAUUGGCGUAGAUAUGAUAUUAGUGAAUGCACAUGGGAGCCAAUAAAGAAUCUUAUAAAUGCAGCAAAGGCGGUGGAGGCUUUUCAUCAAUGACAUCCAUCAAAAUGAAGAUGAAAAAUCUUUUUUAUAAAAAAUCAACAUCUAAACAGGAUAACAUUCUACUUUCAAUCCUUGUUUGUAGCUUCUUUGUAGUUGUGACGCUUAGGAGACAGAGAACCAACAUCUAGUGGAUUCGACUUAAGAACCUUCAUUUUUUGACCUACCGGAGGAGAUAUUACGAUUGUCACAAUCUUCAAGACGACGCAAUCAAGAUGAAGAUUUUCAAGAACGUCAUGUUCUUCCUCAAAUAGGGUGCGAGAUAGAAUGCAUUUGGUAUCACGAUUUGGGAAGGAACUCCCGAUGUUUGGUGAUUUUGCUAGAGGUAGGAACAACUCCUCAUGGUGUUGUAAAUGUUCUAUUUAAACAAAGUUAUGAAAGCCUCAACAAUGAUCAAAUAAUUGGGUGGUCUUCUCGCCUUGGUAUAAGACACUACCGAUGGUUGAGAGGCCCUAUCAUCUUCGAAGAGAACAAAGAUCAGAUUAUAUGGUAAAUACUAUUCGUCGCAUCAUAGAUUUUCUCAACAUAUGAUGACCACUCCUUAUAGAAUUCGUCCCUAGAAAGGGGGAAUAUGUCAUGGACAUACUCAUGUAAGCUAGUAAUUUCAUAUACAAAUAGGUGGAAGUAAGUAAAAGUAAGUAAAAAUAUAUUAAUUCUAUAGUAUUUAAUAUGGAAGCUUUCUAGAGGCUUCAUAGACACUGCUUUGACUUCAUAGGUGUCUUUAAUUGACUUUUUGGAUUAGAAACGUCGUCAACAAGUUGGCCAUGUGCCACACAUGUUGUUAGCUUAAAGAUGAAGCUAUCUACGUGGCAUUACAUAGAAAAACUUGCCUUGUAAGUUAAGGCAUGUGUCCUACAAAGUCCACACAUAUUAGGGGUCCUAUAGAAUGUCGCCAUAUAGUCCUUAGUUAGAUAGUAUAUAUAGAGAGAAGAGUGAAGCCUUCUUCACUCUUGUCAUCUCCUUUCUUACUUCCAGUUUAGUUUCAAGGGUCUCUAGUUUUCUUGUCUUUUGGCAAUAGCCAUUCCAGUUUCUCUUUCAAUAUAUAUACUUAUAUAUUUAUAUUUUGUUAUCUUUCUUUGAGUGAGGGCUCACUUAUCUGAAUUGCUUUUUCAUCGAGUUCUUGUCCUUGACAGCUGUUUAAAAAGACUUUAUGAAAUUAUUUUAUAUUUAUCUACUUCUAUUUAAUCAUAUAAGUAACUAUUUAGGUAUAUAUAUAUAUAUAUAUAUAUAUAUAUAUAUAUAUAUAUAUAUAUAUAUAUAUUUGUGUCAUUUUGUUAUGGAAUUAUUUUAUAAAUACUUCUUUUGGAUGUCCUUCAUAGGCAGGUUCUACCUCAAAGAUUAUUACGAGUGACCUAUUACUGGAUAUCCUUUGACAUCUUCAUGGUUUAGGCGGCUCUUCAAUCAAGAUUAUCUUCAUGAGGUACUUAGUUGAAUCGGUUUGAUUGACAAGGUAUCUAUUUCUUCACUAUUCAUAUCACAUAAACUAUAUAUAAUCAAAAUAAUAUAAAUAAUCAAUGGUUGUGAAUUCAAACUACUGACUUAUACUAUUUUAAAUAUUUAAAAUAAUUACCUUUCUAGAGGUUGCGUCCUCUCUUUCUUUAUGAGGCCAAGAACCAAGAAACUUCAUGGUGAAGCCAUCUUAUCAAGCUAUUGUUCCUCAUUUUGCCACUUUUGAUUUGGAUAGAUGUCGUUGAUGGAACUUUUAAACCUUCAUUUGUGCAUUUACAAGAUUGUUGGCUAGUUCCCACAUGGAAUUGUUGAUAUCAUAUCUAUGCCAAUAGACUAGAUAUUCAACCCUUUCAUAUCUUAUUCUUGAAUAUUAUACCUCUUCUACCUCAAAUUCAAUAUGAUCAUUGAUUUCAACCAUAGGAGGUGGUCGUUGUCUUUGAUUUGAUAUGUUUGAUUCUUUAUACCUUUUUAAAAGUGAAACAUAAAAGAUUGGAUGAAUUUUUAUGGAUGAAGGUCACACCAAGCAAUAAGUUACAUUAUUGAUUUAUAUCUAAAUUACAAAUGGUUCCAACUUUCAGUAGUCCAACUUAUCACAUGGCAUGUUGGUUUUUAUAUUGUGCUGAAAAAACCACACUUUUUUACCAACUUGAAAUACAGAAUGUUCUUCCUUCAAUUCAUCCCCCAAUAGCUUAUAAUGUUGUUGAGCCCUUUCUAGUUGGAUCUUCAUGAUUGCUUGAAGUUUGGCCAUCUUUGUAGCAAACUCUUUUUCUGCUAGAUUUGUUUACUUUGAAGGUUCUAUCAUAUCCAACUUUGGAUGAUGAUUAUAGUUUCAAUAGAAUGACAUUUGUUGCAUAAAUGCAUAGAUUGUGUUGUUAUAUGCAAACUCUGCUAACAAUAAAUAAGAAAUAUAGUCAUCUUCUUAAUAGUUGAUGGUAUAAUUCAAAUAUUGCUCUAGAAUUUUGUUGAUCCACUCUGUUUGGCCAUCAAUUUGAGGGUGAAAGAUAGAAGAAAAGUUGAUGUCAACCUUAAGAAUCUUGAAGAGUGUCUUUCAAAACCUUGAUACAAAUUGUGGUGUAUAAUUUGACACAAUAUUGUCUGGCAACCCGUGGUAAUGAUAGACAUUAUCAAUUAAGAGUCUUGCCAUUUCUUCACUAGUAAUUGACUUCUUGCAAGGUAUAAAAUAUACCAUCUUGGUCAAUCAAUCAAUAACUAUGAAGAUAGUAUCAAAUGAGGUUGAUGGUCGAAGAUCUGUAAUGAAAUCGAUGGAAAUAGAUGAACAUGAUUGUCUUGAAAUAUGAAGGAAUUGAAGAAGUCUAUAUGACUAGUGUCAAGGAUUCUUUGACCAUGAAUAAGUAUCACAUGGUAAUACAAGUUCUUUGAUAUCUUUCCAUAUUUUUAGCCAGCAAAAGUCUCUAGACAGAAGUUUCAAGGUCUUAUUGAAUCUGAAAUGUCUGACUAUAAGGAAGUCAUGGCCUAUUUGAAGGAUACACAAACAAGUUAAUCCUUCAAGAAUAAACAAAUGUUCUUCAAAGAACAAGAGAUUGUCUUCAAUCUUGAAUUUAAAAGAUUCAUUAGGAAGGUUAUUGGCAAGAUUCUUGAUAUUAAGAAUUAGAAGGUCUAUGGUUGAGGCUUUAUAAACUUGAUCAAAAAAUGAUAAAUCCAAAGGCAUUGAUAUAUUGGUUGCUUGAAGAUGAAAUUGCUUAAGCUUUAAUAAGAUUAUCUAUUAUUGAUUAUAUGCUGCCUCAUCUUCUUUUGAUUUAAGAUAGAAAUAUCUUGAUAAUGUAUUUGAUAAUUCUUAUUGGCUCUCAGAUUGAUACGUGAUGCAAAAGUUAAAUCUUGAUAAAGAUAUACUUCAACGCACUUUACGAUAGUUCAAGCCUUAUACUGAUAUGAAAUAUUCAAGAUUCUUAUCAUUUAUAUAUACAAUUACUUAAUGAGAGGCAUCUUUAAGAAAGUGGCACCAUUCUUGGAAAGAAUCCACGAUGGCAAGUAUCUCUUUAUUGUAGAUUUUGUAAUUGAUUUCCAUCGCUGAGAAUUUUGUAGAAUAAAAUGCAAUUAGGUGAAGUUUUCCACCUUCUCUAUAUUGCAAUAAGAUUUCUUCCAAUAAAAAGUCUGAGGCAUCAGUCUCCAUAAAGUAGGACUUGUUGAAAUCUAGAUGUAACAAAAUUAGAGCUAUUAUAAAAGUAUCUUUUAAGCUUUGAAAAGCUUUCUUUGCUUUAAGGCCCCAGUCCAUCUUAUCCUUGCAUGUCAAAUGCAUAAGUGGAGUAGCGAUCUUGGAGUAAUUUCUAACAAAAAUCCUAUAGAAGUUUGUAAAUCCAAGAAAGCAUUAAACAUCAUGUAUAAUUUUUGGCUUUGUCCAAUCAAUGAUUGCUUAUACGUUCUUUGGAUCCAUAAAAAGGCCUUUAUUGGAAAUAACAUAUCCAAAAAAUUUGACUUGAGGUGCAUGAAAUAUAUACUUCAAUUUUGCAUAUAGCCUAGCACUUUAUAGCUUUUUCAAUAUAGUGCAGACAUGUUUUUUUUGGUCUUUCAAAUUCUUAGAAAAGAUUAGAAUAUCAUUCAAAUAGAUCACAAUAAAGUUGUCAAGAUGCUCACAAAAUAUGUUAUUUAUUAAGUAUUAAAAUAUGGCUAGUGUAUUGAUAAGUCCAAAAGACCAGACAUUGUAUUCAAAAUAUCCAUACUUGGUAUAAAAUAUUGUCUUCCAUUCAUCUCUUUUCUUUAUGCAUAUCAAAUUAUAUGUGCCUCAUAGAACAAUCUUCAUAAAGAUAUUUAUUUGAUUUAGUUGAUCAAGAAGUCUAGAUAUCAAUAGCAAUGGAUAUCAAAUCUUUACUAUGAUUCAGUUAAGAUUGCAAUAAUCGACACACAUUCAUAAAGAUUAAUCUUUUUUCUUCACAAAUAAUAUCAGAGCACCAAUUGAUGAUUUGGAAUGUCAAAUAAAAUUCUUAGCAAGAUUUUUAUCAAUGUAAUCUUUUAAAAUUGUAAGCUCAUUCCAGCAUAAAUUGUUGAUGGGUCUAAAUGGUGGUUGACCAUUUUUUUAAAGAUCAAUCAUACAAUUGUAAGGACAAUGCUUAGAUAGGAUGUCCACAUUUUUUUUUUUCAAAUACAUCUACAAAAUCCUUAUACGUUCCUAGAAUUGUUGUUAUAGCAACCACAAGUUCCAAACCUAGAUUUGUGUAGAUAGCAAAUGUAGUGUCUUGUUUGGCUGCCCUCACAAAUAUUCUAGCUCUAAUAAAUAAAUGUUCUUUAAGUUUUGACUUGCUAGGUGUUUGAAUCUUUUUCAUAGAUCUGGAGGUUCUAUAAACUACUAGAUAAAAUUCUAACUUUUGGGAUAUGCAAUAAAUUCAUGGAUUUUAUUUUUCAAGCCAUGAAAGUCCUAAAAUGAUUAGACUUGAUGGUGAUCUAAUAAUGCUGAAUAGUACUUGGCUACUAUGGUUGUCAAAGGUUAUUUCUAAUGGAAUCGUCUCAUAACUAACAUCUCUAAAAGAUAGAGGUUGACAUCUAUUAUUUAUAUAUGUAUGGCUUUGGAUUUUUUGACCUUACAGAUUUUGUAUAAUUUAAAAAAUUCUUUGCCAAUAAAACAUGUAAAGGCUCCUGAGUCAAGUAAUGCAUGAAACUCUAGUUUUGUGAAUUCUAAUUGUAAAAGUAUAGUAAAACAACGAAAAGGGUUGGCAGAGAGUACAAGUAUUUUUUUAAUUUGUGAUAGUAAAGAAUCUAGCUGCACGGUCCUUAUUAUGGGUGGAUGCCCUCGUUUUUUUGCAAUGCUUUUUAUGAUGUGGCCGCACUCUUUAUUCAACAUCUACAUUGACAUUUCUUUAUAAAAUUAUUAAUCUUGUGGCCAAAUUUUUGAUAAUAUAAGCAUAGGCCAAGUUACAUUCGAUGCUUUUUUUUUUGCUCAAAAAGAGAUUUGAAGCAAAUUGCAUCAAUCUGCAUAUCUUUUGCUUUCAAAUAUUCAUUAGAAUUGGAUGGUGAAGGAGCUGCAAAAUAAUUGGUGUAUAGAUGUGCCAAAGUUGAAGAACGUUUGUUUUGUCAUGGUUGAAAUAAACAAUUAUUGCACUUCAUAGCUUGACUAAUGGCUUCAUUGACUAUUUGAGGAUUUGGCAUAAAUAAUAAUAAGUCUUUGAUAUUAUCUCUUAAUUUCUGAUGAAAUUGGCUCAUCAACGUAUCUUCUCUUUAAUUUAUAUUACAUACUAAUUAUCAAAAAUUUGAGGCAUAUAUUGAUGAAGAAUGCAUUCCUUGUUGAAGGCUUUGAAUUUUAGUUGUUGAAGAAUAAACCUUAUCAUGUUCACCAAAUGUUCUCCCAAAUGCUACCAAAAAUGCUUCAAAAUUGUGUAAUAUAUGAAAAUUCUUUUCAAAUAAUAGAGCAAACCAAAAUAAAGCUUAACCUAAGAACAAGGUUCAAACCAAACCAAUACAAGAUGAUUCAGUAGAAUAUCAUUGAGGUUGAAGCAAGAUGAUUAGUCGUGCUUGGUUUACAAAGCCCCAAAAUUUUAAAUAGGUGCCAUCAAACUUUUUCAAAAGGUUGAUCCUUGUUUCUUUUAUUGUUUUUGUUGUCAGAUCAUUGCCUUAAGUGGAUGCACCUUCCAUGUUUGUUGAAGCAAAUAUAGUGAUUUGAAAAUUUGGAAGCUCUAUUGCAAUUUGAUGUGGUAGUUGAGGCACUCCAGCUCCUUGACCAUUAAAUAUGGUCAUAUAUAGUUCUUCAUUUUGCUUUGACAAAGUUUCUAUCAUGAUCUUCAAUGCUUUAAGAGCAUUAAUAAUAAAAUCUAAUUUGAUCUCUUUGGAGUCUAUCAUAUUGACUUUUCUACGUUUUGCCAUAGAAAAUCAAAGAAAUAAAUGCAUUUAAAGGGAAAAAAAAAAAAAAAAAAAAAAAAAAAACUUGAAUUAUAGUAUAAAGAAAAAAAAUCAAAGGAAUAUUAAAAAAAGAAUAAUAUUAGUCUAAGAUAAGGUAAUCCGCAACCUCUAGAAUGCUAUAGUACUUCCAAGAAGAAGAUUAAUCUACUCUCUGUCAAAGAAGACCAAACUUUAAUAUUAUUUUAUAGUAGUCUCAACAAACUAUUAGGGAUUGUAUAGAAGACAAGCAUUUCCACCAAAGAUCUUCAAGAUAUUUAAAUUUUACUUUUUUAAGCCUUUAAAAAUCAUAUCAAAGAAAUUGAAGCACAAGCAAGUAUGGAGUGGAUUUGUAUUGGCCACCAAUAUAACCAUUAUCUAUAAAAGAACAUUGUGAAAUAAAUCUCAUUUUAUGCAUUCAAUCUGGUCACAAAAUAAACCAAAUAUGCUCAAAAAGAAGACCUUAGUGACUACUUUCAUACUUUUACGACUAUGGUGGACUUGCCUUAUUGCUACCAUAUUUGGAUGAAAUUUAAAGCAAAGAUGUCCUUGUUUAUGGAUGAUUUCUAUCAUCUUUGGUACCUUGUCAAUGUACAAUGGCUUAGAUUAAAAGCUAGAUCUACACAUCGAGGUAUUUCUAGUAGUAUAUGAACAUUGCAAAUUGUGGAUAGCCUUGGACUCAUCUUUGAUGAGGUUAAAGGCACCUAUCUGAUCUUCACACUUCAUUAGCAAGAGUAAGUACACAAUUAGCUAUUAGUGAUGGCAUUAUAGAUACUAGAAUUAAAGAAUUUGCUCAUACAAUAUACUUGUGGACAUCCAAGAGACUCUAUCAAUUGAGCAUCCAAAUAAGCAUCAUACCAAAAUGAAUCUUUAAUCUAAAAAAAUCCAUCCUAAUUUCAAUUAGUCCAAGGGAGUGCAUCUUCUUAAGUUGUAAGAGUAAUUCAUAUACAAAAGUGGAUAGUGUAUAAUUAGACUAGCCACAAUGCAUGUACUUGUGCUAGUCGUAUUAUAUUCUCAUAAGGUUCUCAAUGUAGUUGGUUAGAGUAUAAUAUAUUUGAAGGAAGUACAAUCCAAUAUAGUUUCCUUUGAAUAGAAUGCAACAACAAGUUGAAGGUGUUUUCUACACUCCAAGUAGGCAAUGAAGCAAGGUUGAGGGCAUUGGAGAGUGUACUAGUAUAUAGCAUGGCAAGUGCUUUAGGUGCAGUCCAAAUGUCAUGUAGGGUAGAAAUAGCAAUUUUGGGGGUAUAUUUAGUAUUCUCCUAUAUAUAUAUAUAAAUAACUAUAACAGAUGAACAUGUAGAGUCACUUAAAGAUACCACCUUACAGAAGAAAUGAUUUCCAACAAAUAAUCUGUCAAGUAACAUCGUCAACCCGAAAUCCAAAACCUAGUGAAGUAACCUUAAACAGGAACCGGGUUCAUUAACAUCAACUGCCGUAAUUACCAACAAUCUUUCAUAGAUACAGAGAGAUCGAUUAGUAUUUUAUUAUUAUUAUUGUUGUGGGUACUGCUUUCAUGGUUUAUUUUUCAGAGUCUGCGAAGCUCGACCUCCACUCAGUUGUCGUAUGCAAUGAAAGCUGCGAAGCUUUAUUCGGUUGCAGUAAGAAAAGCGCCGAAUUUUGAACAGCAGCUUGAUCAUCAGAAGCUGUAAUCUAUCUCGAUGCUUCCGGGGGCAUCAUUAUCAUCAUCAUCAUCAUCGAAGAAGAAGAGGGACUCGGACACGCCAAGGCUGCUCCUAAAUCGAUGACAUGCACUGGCCCAAGUGGGUGCCGAUGACUGACUGACUGACUGCCCACUUAUAUUCCGCUUCUGAUUCACCACGAGUGUCGUGGCCUGUCACGCAAUGUCGAUGACUGAAUGAAUGAAUGAUGCGCUCGGUGAAGAAGAAGAGGAAUAUGAAGGAGAAGAAGAAGAAAAUCGGUGGUAAGUAAGAUGAGACCCCGUCAAAGCAGCCAGCAGUGUCUCCGCAUCCUCAUCUUGGCAUUUUCUAGUACCGCAGGUACUGUGCGGUACCUCCAACACAACAACACUGAUCUCCUUUUGCCCGAGCACUAAAAGUGUUUUGAAAAGUCGUUGGCGACAGAGAAACAGAGAGUGUACGAGGUCAAGCCUCCAUCGCUCAGGGUCUGGCCCACAGCAUUUAUAUCACACGACAGACAGUGCACUGGUUUUACGAAGGGAGAGGUAAACGCCGGAUUAAUGGUACUGUUGUUGCUGGAGCCCUCACUCGAGCUUGGGUGAUACUCUUCUACCAGUGGAAUACUAGCAUUGACCUGGAGAUGGAGAUUGAGAGUUCCGAAAACCUACGGGAGUUGGGUCGGAGUGGCUACGAUGGGCUACAACAUUCCAAUUCAGAGAUGAUCCUCAGAGAGCGAGCAAGAGCGCGAGAGAGAGAAAGGGACUCUCGUGCUUACGAAUUGUGACAACGGAAAUGGGAAGAGUGUGCAGGAGGGGCAUUAUGAUUCGCAUCUUCGCGGACUCGCACUCUCUAAGUCUACCCAGGAUGACAUUUUCUCACGUCACGACGUAAGUGAAGCUUGAGUCGGACACAUGGUACACUGAGUGUCUAAUCAUGCUGACAUCGAGUACACCAAUCGGAUAUGUCAAUCAAGGUUCUCAAUGCCCUGGGGACUACAAACGACAGCGAUCCCAGUACAGACGAAUAAGUCAACGAUGACGGAGCAAGUGGUCCGUCUGUGCUUUUGCUACUCAGAUUCCUUGGUGUGGUAAUUGUCAGUGGAUGGCCCCACAAAGAAUCCUUCUUAUGACUGGCACUUGUGUCCGCCUGUAAAAGAGUUACAACAUUCGCAUCUUACCAUGUCGGGUUUUCAGACGUGAACGAUCAGCGUUCUUGAGUUAAUCUGAACAACUGGACGAUGGUAGCGUGUACGGUGGAAGUGAACAAAGCACUAGAAGGGUCCAGCUCAGGCUGCUUGACGAAAGGAAAGAAGAGUAGAGAACGCCGUAAUGAAUUCUUUGGUUAAAUUCGGCAGCGAGCACUCUGACCAAGAGGUAAAAGAUUGACGAGCAUUGCGCAAAUUAGAAAGAUGACAGAUUUGAACAGCAGACACAGUUAUGAUAGUAGUAGUAACCACAAACGCGACUCACAGAGUUAAAAUGGAAAUUGCGCAGGACUAGAGAACAUAUAGUCUGCAUUCGAAAUUUAAUACUCGAGUUCGGAUAUUUUACGCAUAAUUUCCCGGUAGUACAUACGCACUAGGGCUCAGAUUUCUGCUAAAUCUUCUAUCCUCCAUCGCUUGAGCAACACCAAACUAAAGUUUUAGCAAUUAGUGACAAUUCUGCUCCAUAAGAGAGCUGUACACUUGCUGAUAAUCAAUGACAGAGUCGGAACACAAUUAUGUGCCAUAUCUUCCGGGUGAGCCCGGAGAACACAUUCAUCGGUGUUCGUACUCCGUCACUCAGCACAUCACAUUCGAACUGGAAUCUCUUGACUCAGUGCGGAAUCGUAAUAGUUCGAACUUUAAAGCUCCUUUGUCAAAAUAAUCCGAUUUCAGUUACCUCCUCAAUAUGCAGCUGAUGAGAAUGUAAAUCCUUGAUCUCUACUGGAUUGACUGAAAGUUCUGGGUGAAGAGGACAGCAUUGGGAAGAAAUUCAGAGUGACUAACCUCGGUGCGGUGAGUGAGGCGAGCAGCUCAUUGCUCACUGGAGUACCAAGGGCCUCUGCACAAGGUUUCACAAUUUCAUCCUGCGUGACAUGAUGCGCAGGCUGAAAUAACUUACAGUCCUCCGAGUCAGACCUCUCGGAGUUGAAGUCAUUUCCGAGAAACUGAUAAGUCUUUGAGGUGACUUCAUCGGCAGCGGGCCGCCCGGUCAGCUUCUGCACUAAAUCUAAAAACUCCUCGGGUUUGAUCUUGUAGACUUUGGGGGAAUAUGUGUGAAUAAUGCGCGGUUUAAUGCAUCCUCCGUUUCUCACAAUUUGUAGGCUUGACAGUCUUCGUCCUGAGGACUUGCCAGAGUUUAGCUGGACUUCACAACCUCCCAUUCCCGUCGAGUUACUUGAAAGCCCGGAGUAGGAAGUCCGUCCUUUUUUCGGCAGGUGAGAGUAUGUAAGUAGAGUUUCAAGCUUGGAACUACUCCUGCGUGUUCUAUAUCACCCAAAAUAAUAACAAUAAUAAUAAUAAUAAUAAUAGUAAAACCGAGGCAACCGCAACUGCGAGCUUCGAAUUCUCACUAACUACUAGGAACCCGCUAAAUGACGCAAAUUAGCUGCAGCGAUACCAUCAGCAAAAUUUGGCACCGCUCCAACGUCAUGCAGAGCAUACUUGUCAUACAAUCAGUAGCUGAAAGGAAAUAUGUCCAAGAAGUAGAUGAAUGAGACGUCCACUUCAACAAGGUCGAACGCAGUGCCACAAUCACCAAUCGACGCCAAUCAACUCUACGAAGGAGAUGCCCCAACUAAAGAAGCUGUAGAUUCUGCACGACGAUUCAAGUUGCAACCCAAGGAAUUCUCCCGGCACACAAUCGCUGCACAUCACGUCGGCGUGAUUGCAAAUCUAGAUGGGGGAUAAGAAAGAUCUGACAGCGACCCUGGGAGGAAACAAAAUUCCCUGCGGCGCGUAGCCCAGCUGACGACGGUGAAGACGAAGGAGGCCACGACAAGAGCUUGCGAACUCGCCCCCAGCUAACCGUCCCACCCCAGAAUUUGUAUCAGCACCAAGGCGCGCCGGCGUCAAUCCGCCUCCUGCACGCGCCACGGGAGGGGGGGGGGGAGGAGGAGGGCGGUUCAAAUGGGGCAAACGCUUUCUUCCACCCAGGGUGGCUGUGGCGGGCGCAGCGAUCGAGGCGCCAGCAAAAUGUCGUGAAGGACUACGAUUUCUUUCAAACGGCCACCUCUCUCAGAUUCCUUCUUCCUACAUAAUCGCAGACUUAUCUCGAGGAACAGGUCACCAACUCUUUCGGCUCUCUCGCCCCUCGCGAUCUCUCUCUCUAUGUUUCUCUCACAGCUUGUGCAUCCAUCCACUCUCUCGGUCUAUCCAUCUAUCUAUCUCUCUCUGUUUGUCAAUCUGUCUAUCUUCAACGGUGCUCAACUGGGUCCCCCCAAAUCCAACGGCAUCGAAACUGCCCACCUGGGGAGUGGGUCCGCGUUGGAGAAGGAUUGCAGAAGCGAGGACGUGGUCUCCGUCACUCUUGGGUCCGUUUUCACAAUGCUUGCUCC
rnacentral:lncRNA from 1 species